rnacentral:rRNA from 1 species
GACGUAGGGGGCCAGCGUUGUUCGGAAUUACUGGGUGUAAAGGGUUCGUAGGCGGUGUGGCAAGUCGGGAGUGAAAUCUCUGGGCUCAACUCAGAGACUGCUUCCGAAACUGCUGUGCUGGAGUGUGGGAGAGGCGCGUGGAAUUGCAGGUGUAGCGGUGAAAUGCGUAGAUAUCCGGAGGAACACCGGUGGCGAAGGCGGCUUCCUGGACCGACACUGACGCUGAGGCGCGAAAGCUAGGGGAGCAAACGUG